UACCUAUUCGAAGGGAUAGGGUCGGUUCGGCCGGAUUUUACACAAGUGUUGCAUGGCUGUCGUCAGCUCGUGUCGUGAGAUGUUGGGUUAAGUCCCGCAACGAGCGCAACCCUCAUCCUUAGUUGCCAUCAGGUAAUGCUGAGUACUUUAAGGAAACUGCCAGUGAUAAGCUGGAGGAAGGUGGGGAUGAUGUCAAGUCAUCAUGGCCUUUAUGGAGUGGGCUACACACGUGCUACAAUGGUGUCUACAAUGGGCUGCAAGGUGCGCAAGCCUAAGCUAAUCCCUAAAAGACAUCUCAGUUCGGAUUGUACUCUGCAACUCGAGUACAUGAAGUUGGAAUCGCUAGUAAUCGUGGAUCAGCAUGCCACGGUGAAUACGUUCUCGGGUCUUGUACACACUUCCC
rnacentral:rRNA from 1 species